CACAGUGUCUUGUAUAACUGUCACCCCGACCCUGUGAGCAGACUGGGCAGGCCCACCAUGUCCAUUUGACAGAUUGGGAAAACCAAGGCCCCGGAUACCCACCCCUCCACGCCCACCUCUGUCUCUACGGUCAGGGUGGUGCUACCCACUCCAACACCUUCCUUCCAGAGAGGACGUGUGAUCCAGGUUAGGCCGCAGACAUGGAACUUUUGCUGCGACUACGGGGGAAGAGAGAGGGAAGAGGCACCCUCUUUCCACGAGGAUGACGUGGGAUCAAAAGCUCUCGGGAAGCCAUUCUCUGCCCUCCUGGCAUGAGCCACAUAUACCGGAAGGCCUCACAAUGGAAGCUUGUCCAACAGAUGGAAGUGCAACAUCCUAAGGACAGCACGAGCCCCUGGAUCCAGCCAUGCCUGAACCUGCUUAACGCUUUUCAGUAGCAUGAGCCAAUACAACCCCUUUGGUGCUUUA